GCCGGGCGUGGUGGCAUGCGCCUGUAAUCCCAGCUACUCAGGAGGCUGAGGCAGGAGAAUUGCUUGCAUCCGGGAGGUGAAGGUUGCAGUGAGCCAAGAUUGCGCCACUGCACUCCAACCUGAGUGACAGAGCAAGACUCUGUCUCAA
rnacentral:sRNA from 1 species